rnacentral:lncRNA from 1 species
GGUUCUCGCUGAAGACCACAUCGGUGUCUCGGCACAAGUUUGCCCACUGACGUUUGAGUCGGCGACGCCUUGUGUUUGACACGCAGUGACGCGAGAGUACAUAUUUGUCGUCUCCAUGACAGCGCUGUCGGUGCAUCGAGAAGUGAAAUGCGGCAUACCUCAGUGGCACAUGAGGCGCUUCGGGGAAGGACUGCAGCGGAAGAUACACGACAGCCAGGACCAUUCCGGCAUGAGUCCACCCGCUGACCUCGAUGCUGAAGGAACGGAUGUGAGGAUGUCGAUGAAGGACACGAGGCCCUUAUAUGUUAACCCUUCCAUGAUGGCGUGCUACGGCAUCCGAAUGGGCUUCGACUCGGGGACAUUCGUCGGGAAAGACAUGAAAAGGGU